UACGGAGGGAGCUAGCGUUGUUCGGAGUUACUGGGCGUAAAGCGUACGUAGGCGGUUACUCAAGUCAGAGGUGAAAGCCCGGGGCUCAACCCCGGAACUGCCUUUGAAACUAGGUAGCUAGAAUCUUGGAGAGGUCAGUGGAAUUCCGAGUGUAGAGGUGAAAUUCGUAGAUAUUCGGAAGAACACCAGUGGCGAAGGCGACUGACUGGACAAGUAUUGACGCUGAGGUACGAAAGCGUGGGGAGCAAACAGG
rnacentral:rRNA from 1 species